AGCCUCAGAUUCCCUUCCCCACUGGAUCUUGAUGCUGGUCUUGGAAGUCUAUAAAGGAGGAAGCACAUACAGAAGCUGGCCUAUACCAGUAGUCUGGUAUAGAGCACUGGGUCAGAUUCAUACAUGC
rnacentral:snoRNA from 1 species